GUACUCGCUUCGGCAACACAUAUACUAAAAUUGGAACGAUACAGAGAAGAUUAGCAUGGCACCUGCACAAAGACCCACAAAUUCAGGAAGUGUUCCAUAUUUUU